AGUAUUAUCAUGACAAUGCUGCCAAUCAGACGGGAAUUCCUUCUCUCCCCUCUUCAUGUUUUUAAACUUUAUCUUUGCUAAGGAUAAAAAAUGGCGGCACCCACGUGCCAGAUAGAAAAUAUAUAAACAAAGUCUUAGUCAAUUUUUGAAUAUGAAGUACAGUGGACUUAAUUGUUUGAAUUUAAAUUCUAAUAAAUUGAAACAGCAUUUAUUUUAUAAUGUUUUACGUUCAGCAUCAACUGGACUAGGAUUAUGGGAUUUAAAUGUAGACAAUGAAAUUCGUCAUAAAAUAGAAGAUCAUUGGAAAGAUAAAAUUUGGUCAAGUAAAAUCAAGGGCAAUGACAGCGAUAAAGAAAAAUACUACGUCCUGUCAAUGUUUCCAUAUCCAUCAGGAUCACUUCAUAUGGGACAUGUGCGCGUUUACAGUAUAAGUGAUGCAGUAUCACGGUUCCAUAGAAUGAAGGGUAAGAACGUAGUCCAUCCAAUGGGUUGGGAUGCCUUCGGAUUGCCAGCAGAAAAUGCAGCAAUCGAACGCAAUAUUGAUCCUAAGGAAUGGACUGACAGUAAUAUAAAAAAUAUGAAAGAACAAUUAAAUAUUCUUGGCUGUGAUUUCGAUUGGGAACGUGAGUUUGCGACUUGCAAUCCAAAUUAUUACCGCUGGACCCAGGAAUUAUUCCUCAAACUCUACGAUUGUGGGUUAGCGUAUCAGAAAAAAGCGUUUGUCAACUGGGACCCUGUUGACAAAACAGUUCUGGCUGAUGAGCAGGUUGAUCAUGAUGGAAAGUCAUGGAGAUCUGGUGCUAAAGUUGAAAAGAAGUUAUUGAGACAGUGGUUCAUACGGACCACAGCUUUGGCCAAGUCACUUUUUGAUGGUCUUGAUGAUCCGAUGCUGAAAGAGUGGCGGGAUAUUAUUAAAAUACAGAAACACUGGAUUGGUGAUUGCAAUGGGACAUCAAUGGAUUUUAAAUUAGUAUUUGAUUCACCUGAUGAUGCUGAUAAACCUGAUACUUUUAACAUCUGGACAGACAAACCAGAAUUUAUUGAGCAUGCGAAAUUUGUUUCAGUUUCACGUGAUAAUUUUCUAGCUAAAUCACAAAUUGAUAAUUUUACAGACAUAACAACAAAAUAUCUUAAUGCUAAAGUUAUUAAUCCAUUUAAUAAUGAAGAAUUGCCUAUUUAUUAUACAGAUACAAUGAAAUUUUCAAAGCUACGUGAUAAUCAUAUUGGUAUUCCAGGUUGUUUUCAAGCUGACGCUGAUUUUUGUAUAGAUAACGGAAUUACUUUUGAUAAAAUCGAGGAAUUGAGUAAUGAAGAAAUAGAGAAUAAGCGUAAGAUUGUUAUGGAAAGAGCGAAAGAAUUAAGAAUUGGUGGUUAUUUGGUCAGCGCGACACUCAGAGAUUGGUUGAUAUCACGGCAAAGAUAUUGGGGCGCACCGAUUCCUAUAAUUAAUUGUGAUAAAUGCGGCAGUGUUCCAGUACCACGUGAUCAAUUGCCAGUUCUUUUACCAGAAAAAUCAUCUAGCUCAGAUUCGGGUAUUCCCAACUUAAGACAAGCAACUGAUUGGCUAAAAACAUCUUGUCCUAAUUGUGGCGAUGAUGCCACCAGAGAAGCUGACACAAUGGAUACUUUUGUCGAUAGCUCAUGGUAUUUUAUGAGAUUUAUUGAUCCACAUAAUGACAAUGAAAUGUUUUCACAUGACAAAGCUAUGAAAUAUCUUCCGGUUGAUUUGUAUAUCGGUGGCAAAGAACACGCGGCAUUACAUUUAUAUUAUGCGAGAUUUAUAAAUCAUUUUUUGUUUACUCAGGGUCUUUUACCAACACGUGAGCCUUUUAAACAAUUAUUGGUACAGGGAAUGGUUAUGGGUAAAAGUUUCCGCGUUAAAGGUAGUGGUAAAUAUUUAAAAGAACAUGAAGUUGAAAAACAGGGAAAUAAUUUUAUUGAAAAAAAUUCUAAACUUCCGGUUGUUGUUGCUUGGGAAAAAAUGUCCAAGUCUAAGUACAAUGGUGUUGAUCCUAUGGAAAUGUUUAAGGAAUAUGGAUCAGAUACCACAAGAUUAAUUAUUCUUGCUGAUGUUGCACCAACGUCUAGCAGAAAUUGGUCCGAUCAAACGUUUCCUGGUAUUUUUAAUUGGCAACAACGAUUGUGGUUAUCAAUAAGACAACUUUUGAUAAGCCGUAAUGGUAUUGACGUAGAAGAAAUUAAAAAUACGAUACCAGAUACUGAAAAAUUUAUAACAGAGAAUGAGUAUUUGUUUAAUAGUAGAAAUUAUUAUAUAAAAGGUGUUACAUUUAAUAUAAUUGGAUCACAGCAACUGAGUGUCGGUAUUUCUAAAAUGCAAGGCCUGACAAAUAGUUUAAGAAAAGUAUCAUUGAAAUGUUUGACUCACAGUUCAGAGUACGAACGCACAUUGGCUACGCAAAUAAUAAUGCUCGCACCUUUAGCUCCAAGAUUUGCAUCUGAAUUAUGGAGCGGAUUUUGUUCUGCUCCCUACCAUUUAGUUAAUGAUGAUUUAUUUAUACAGAGAGACAAAGAUGUUCUCGAACAAAAGUGGCCAGAAGUUGACAGCAAUUAUGAAUUAGAUAUUGAUGUUAUUGUAAAUGGAGCUCAUAUUGAUACUCUCAAAAUUCCUAAAUGUAAUAUUGAAAAAAUGUCAGGAGAGAAUGUAGCAGAAUUAGCAUUGCAAUCCGAGGCCGCUAAAAAAUAUAUAAAAGAUCGUAAAAUUAUUGGAUUUAAAUAUCACUGGGAUCCAGAUUGUGAUGGAAAAAUUCAAUUCCAAGUAUCACUGAAGCCUUCAAAUCUAAAAAUAAAAACUACCGUGUAAGCUAAUGAUGGUUGUCGAUCAUUAGGUAGUUGAUUCAAUUCAACAAUAGGAUCUGGAUCAGUAAGCUGCUGUAUCCAGCAUCAACACCUUCCUGACCAUCGAGAUUUGUUAGAUCUUCAUUAGGUAUUUCCCAAAUCACUCCCCAUACAUGAGAGCUUGGAG